GAUGAACGCUGGCUACAGGCUUAACACAUGCAAGUCGAGCGGAAACGACGGGGAAGCUUGCUUCCCCGGGCGUCGACCGGCGCACGGGUGAGUAACGCGUAUCCAACCUGCCUCUGACUGAGGGAUAACCCGUCGAAAGUCGGCCUAAUACCUCAUGGCAUCGUCUGCGGGCAUCCAACGACGAUUAAAGAUUUCAUCGGUCAGGGAUGGGGAUGCGUCUGAUUAGCUUGUUGGCGGGGUAACGGCCCACCAAGGCUACGAUCAGUAGGGGUUCUGAGAGGAAGGUCCCCCACAUUGGAACUGAGACACGGUCCAAACUCGUACGGGAGGCAGCAGUGAGGAAUAUUGGUCAAUGGGCGGGAGCCUGAACCAGCCAAGUAGCGUGCAGGAUGACGGCCCUAUGGGUUGUAAACUGCUUUUAUGCGGGGAUAAAGUGAGGGACGUGUCCUUCAUUGCAGGUACCGCAUGAAUAAGGACCGGCUAAUUCCGUG
rnacentral:rRNA from 1 species